rnacentral:misc_RNA from 1 species
CUCAAGCCCCCUCGGGGGCCUGGCGUUGGGGAUCGGCCCCGCCUGCGGCGGCCGGCCCCGAAAUAUAGUGGCGGUCACGCCGCGGCACCCUCUGCGUAGUAGAAACACCUCGCACCGGGACGCGGCGCGGCCACGCCGUAAACAAGACGAAUUUUACCAAGGUUGACCUCGGAUCAGGUAGGAAUACCCGCUGAACUUAA